rnacentral:rRNA from 1 species
UCGGGAAUUUUGGGCAAUGGGCGAAAGCCUGACCCAGCAACGCCGCGUGAGGGAUGAAGUAUUUCGGUAUGUAAACCUCGAAAGAAUGGGAAGAAUAAAUGACGGUACCAUUUAUAAGCUCCGGCUAACUACGUGCCAGCAGCCGCGGUAAUACGUAGGGAGCAAGCGUUGUUCGGAUUUACUGGGCGUAAAGGGCGCGUAGGCGGCGCGGUAAGUCACUUGUGAAAUCUCUGAGCUUAACUCAGAACGGCCAAGUGAUACUGCUGUGCUAGAGUGCGGAAGAGGCAACCAGAAUUCUUGGUGUAGCGGUGAAAUGCGUAGAUAUCAAGAGGAACACCUGAGGCGAAGGCGGGUUGCUGGGCCGACACUGACGCUGAUGCGCGAAAGCCAGGGGAGCAAAC